GAAGUUUAAGUUAACUUAAACCCAGGACCUUCAAAGUCCUAGAUAAGAGGCUAACCCCUUAACUUCUG
rnacentral:tRNA from 1 species